GAUGAACGCUGGCGGCGUGCUUAACACAUGCAAGUCGAACGAUGAAGCCCAGCUUGCUGGGUGGAUUAGUGGCGAACGGGUGAGUAACACGUGAGUAACCUGCCCUUAACUCUGGGAUAAGCCUGGGAAACUGGGUCUAAUACCGGAUAGGAGCGUCCACCGCAUGGUGGGUGUUGGAAAGAUUUAUCGGUUUUGGAUGGACUCGCGGCCUAGCAGCUUGUUGGUGAGGUAAUGGCGCACCAAGGCGACGACGGGUAGCCGGCCUGAGAGGGUGACCGGCCACACUGGGACUGAGACACGGCCCAGACUCCUACGGGGGGCAGCAGUGGGGAAUAUUGCACAAUGGGCGCAAGCCUGAUGCAGCGACGCCGCGUGGGGGAUGACGGCCUUCGGGUUGUAAACCUCUUUCAGUAGGGAAGAAGCGAAAGUGACGGUACCUGCAGAAGAAGCACCGGCUAACUACGUG
rnacentral:rRNA from 1 species